UUCGCCUACGGGAGGCAGCAGUGGGGAAUAUUGCACAAUGGGGGAAACCCUGAUGCAGCAACGCCGCGUGAAGGAAGACGGUUUUCGGAUUGUAAACUUCUAUCAAUCGGGAAGAAAGAAAUGACGGUACCUAAAUAAGAAGCCCCGGCUAACUACGUGCCAGCAGCCGCGGUAAUACGUAGGGGGCAAGCGUUAUCCGGAUUUGCUGGGUGUAAAGGGAGCGUAGACGGUUAUGUAAGUCUGGAGUGAAAGCCCGGGGCCCAACCCCGGGACUGCUUUGGAAACUGUGUAACUGGAGUACAGGG
rnacentral:rRNA from 1 species